GACGAACGCUGGCGGCGUGCUUAACACAUGCAAGUCGAACGGAAAGGCCCUGCUUUUGUGGGGUGCCCGAGUGGCGAACGGGUGAGUAACACGUGAGUAACCGGCCCUUGACUUUGGGAUGAGUUCAGGAAACUGGGGUUAAGAUCGGAUAGGAGCUCCUCCUGCGGGGUGGGGGUGGGAAAGUUUCGGCGGUUGGGGCUGGACGCGCGGCUUAUCAGCUUGUUGGUGGGGUAGUGGCUUACCAAGGCUUUGACGGGUAGCCGGCCUUAGAGGGUGACCGGCCACAUUGGGACUGAGAUACGGCCCAGACUCCUACGGGAGGCAGCAGUGGGGAAUAUUGCACAAUGGGCGGAAGCCUGAUGCAGCAACGCCGCGUGCGGGAUGACGGCCUUCGGGUUGUAAACCGCUUUCGCCUGUGACGAAGCGUGAGUGACGGUAAUGGGUAAAGAAGCACCGGCUAACUACGUG
rnacentral:rRNA from 1 species